AUGGUCCCAGAGUGCAAGGCCCCCAAAGAAGGCGUCUCCGUGACCCUGGCCUGCUUGGUGACGGGGUCUGACUCAGCCACCUGGCACAUAGGAGCAGAGAAGCUGCCAGCAAAUGACGUUGUGAUUGGACAUUUGGUGCAGAGGGUCACCUACCUCUUCUACCAAACCAUCGUCUGGAAGCCUGGCUCACACAGCUGCAGCACCGAUCACACGUCCAAGACCUUCCAGUGGCCAGCAUCUUGGAAAACUCAGGCCAUCUCAGUGACCCACGUGCCACCUCUCUCAGAGAAACUCACCCCAGCCCCCACCACGGCCAGAGACCCAGCCCUUCUGGCCACCUCCCCCGGCAAGGACUCACAUUCUCCAGAGCCUUCCCGUGGCCCGGGCACAACCGGGGUUCUCCCUGCAGCUGCCACGGCGCCCAGCAGCCUCGCCGUCCGGGUCCUGGCCACGCCGGGCGCUCACACCUCUGCCCGGGCGGCCUCCUGGCUCCUGUGCGAGGUGUCGGGCUUCUCGGCCCCGGAGCUGCUCCUCACCUGGCAGGAGGGCCGGCGCCAGGUGGACUCUUCUUGGUUUGCCACCGCGGGCGCCCACAGCCGAGCCUGGAAACAGCACGUUCCGCACCUGGAGUGUCCUGCGGGUCCCGGCCACCCCCAGCCCCCCGCCGGCCACCUACACGUGCGAGGUCAGGCCCCCGGCCUCGGAGGCUGCUCAACGCCAGCUGGAGCCUGGACACUGCAGGCCUGGCCCCGCCCCUCUGGGGCCCCCUGAGCAUGCAGGAGGACUGUGAUGGCUACGCCCACCUGGACGAUGCCAGCCACCUCGGCUUUGUCACCUUCGUCAACGUGAAGGGCAGGGACAUCCAGGGGGCUCGCUGGAGCCGGCCAGGGACUGUGCGGAGCCGGGAAACCCGGGCAGGAGGACAGUGGGCUGUGGGCACUGGCCCGGCCUGA